UUAAGUUCAGCGGGUAGUCCUACUCGAUUUGAGGUCAAGUUGUCAAGAAUUGUCCAAAGACAGUUAGAAGCACAGGACUCUCGAUUGGCCAUCCUCUGGAGAGGUGCUGGCAAAGAUGCUUAUCAUGCCAUACUAUGGUUCAGUCAAGAGUUGCACUAAUGCAUUUGAGGUGAGCCACAGUGAAGCAGCAACACCCAAGU
rnacentral:misc_RNA from 1 species